rnacentral:miRNA from 1 species
GUGUGUGUGUGUGUGUGUGUGUGUGUAUCUAUCUAUCUAUAGAUAGAUAGAUACACACACACACACACACACAG